rnacentral:rRNA from 1 species
CCCUUCGAUGUUCUGGGCUGCACGCGCGCUACACUGAUGCGUUCAACGAGUGUACAACCUUGCCCGAUAGGGUUGGGUAACCUUUUGAACACGCAUCGUGAUGGGGAUAGAUUAUUGCAAUUAUUAAUCUUCAACGAGGAAUUCCUAGUAAUGGCGAAUCAUCAGUUCGUCGUGAUUACGUCCCUGCCCUUUGUACACACCGCCCGUCGCUCCUACCGAUUGAGCAAUCCGGUGAAUAUUUCGGACCGAAUAUCUGCGGGGCAACCCAUGGACGUUUGGAAAGUCAAGUAAACCUUNUNGCUUAUNGGAAGGAGAANUCGUANCA